rnacentral:misc_RNA from 1 species
AAUUUUUUUUUUACUAUUAGUAAAUUAUUUUAGCAUUCUCAAAUCAUAGUUGCAAAAUUUAGUGUUCGUGGAAUACUAAAACAAUUGCUAUAACACAGGUCUGAAUCCACUAACAUUGUAAUAGCCCAAGCCAAGCCCAGAGUCGAACACAGUUUAGCAUGGCUGAGCAUAAACUAGUACUCAAUGCAAAGAAAAAAUUGUCCCAUCGUAAAAUGAUAGAGAUUCAAGUAAGUAUGAAAGCAAAAUCUUCUUAUAUGGUGCAUUCUUCUGGAGAACUUUCUACUCAAUUCAGUGUGGUGCAUUGAAAAGAGCUC